rnacentral:rRNA from 1 species
UACGGAGGGGGCUAGUGUUGUUCGGAAUUACUGGGCGUAAAGGGCGCGUAGGCGGCUUGGUAAGUCGGGGGUGAAAGUCAGCGGCUCAACCGCUGGACUGCCUUCGAGACUGCCUGGCUUGAGCAUGGUAGAGGCUGGCGGAAUUCCCGGUGUAGCGGUGGAAUGCGUAGAGAUCGGGAAGAACAUCGGUGGCGAAGGCGGCCAGCUGGGCCAUUGCUGACGCUGAUGCGCGACAGCGUGGGGAGCAAACAGG